CACCGAGACUUAGGUGGCAGACGGGUGAGUAACGCGUGGGAACGUACCCUUUGGUUCAGGACAACGGCUGGAAACGGUCGCUAAUACUGGAUACGUCCGUAAGGAGAAAGAUUUAUUGCCAAAGGAGCGGCCCGCGUUUGAUUAGGUAGUUGGUGGGGUAAAAGCCUACCAAGCCUUUGAUCAAUAGCUGGUUUGAGAGGAUGAUCAGCCACACUGGGACUGAGACACGGCCCAG
rnacentral:rRNA from 1 species